UGGAACAAUUAGUCUCACUUUUGUUCUUGGAUCAACAUCAACACCAUCUUCAGUGUGAAGCUCGCUAAGCAAUUUAGCAAGAAUGAGUUCCACAGCCUUUAUCACAUCAUCAAAGGUCCCAGAUAUCAUAAUUAUCCUAUCUGAUGUUCCUGGGAAAAAUUCAUAAUUGCGUGACAACUGAAUUCGUGCUCUAGAUUGCAACUGAAAAUCGCUGAUUGUGGCACCACCCUUUCCAAUAACUGA
rnacentral:misc_RNA from 1 species